rnacentral:rRNA from 1 species
UGGGGAAUAUUGCACAAUGGGCGCAAGCCUGAUGCAGCCAUGCCGCGUGUGUGAAGAAGGCCUUCGGUUGUAAAGCAACUUUCAGCGAGGAGGAAGGUGGUGAACUUAAUACGUUCAUCAAUUGACGUUACUCGCAGAAGAAGCACCGGCUAACUCCGUGCCAGCAGCCGCGGUAAUACGGAGGGUGCAAGCGUUAAUCGGAAUUACUGGGCGUAAAGCGCACGCAGGCGGUUUGUUAAGUCAGAUGUGAAAUCCCCGGGCUCAACCUGGGAACUGCAUUUGAAACUGGCAAGCUAGAGUCUCGUAGAGGGGGGUAGAAUUCCAGGUGUAGCGGUGAAAUGCGUAGAGAUCUGGAGGAAUACCGGUGGCGAAGGCGGCCCCCUGGACGAAGACUGACGCUCAGGUGCGAAAGCGUGGGGAGCAAAACAGGAUUAGAU